rnacentral:rRNA from 1 species
UUAUACUGCAAGGCGAGGGGGCAGCAAUGUCACCGUCGUACGGGUGCGUAACGCGUAUGCAACCUACCUUCCACUGGGGGAUAGCCCGGGGAAACCCGGAUUAAUACCGCAUAAUACAUACGGACCACCUGGUUUGUUUUGUUAAAGAUUUAUUGGUGGAAGAUGGGCAUGCGUUCGAUUAGCUAGUUGGUAUGGGUAACGGCCUACCAAGGCAACGAUCGAUAGGGGAGCUGAGAGGUUGAUCCCCCACACGGGCACUGAGAUACGGGCCCGACUCCUACGGGAGGCAGCAGUAGGGAAUAUUGGGCAAUGGAUGCAAGUCUGACCCAGCCAUGCCGCGUGCCGGAUGAAGGCCCUCAGGGUUGUAAACGGCUUUUAUCCGGGAAGAAGAGCAGGGAUGCGUCCCUGUGUGACGGUACCGGAUGAAUAAGCACCGGCUAACUCCGUGCCAGCAGCCGCGGUAAUACGGAGGGUGCGAGCGUUGUCCGGAUUUAUUGGGUUUAAAGGGUGCGUAGGUGGCUUUUUAAGUCAGUGGUGAAAUACAGCCGCUCAACGGUUGAGGUGCCAUUGAUACUGAAGAGCUUGAAACAAGUGGAGGCUGCCGGAAUGGAUGGUGUAGCGGUGAAAUGCAUAGAUAUCAUCCAGAACACCGAUUGCGAAGGCAGGUGGCUACGUUUGAUUUGACACUGAGGCACGAAAGCAUGGGGAGCAAACAGGAUUAGAUACCCUGGUAGUCCAUGCCGUAAACGAUGAGGACUCGCUGUUGGGCUGUCAAGGUUCAGCGGCUUAGGGAAACCGUUAAGUCCUCCACCUGGGGAGUACGCCGGCAACGGUA